rnacentral:SRP_RNA from 1 species
GCUGGGCAUGGUGACUCAUGCCUGUAAUCCUAGCACUUUGGGAGGCCGAGGCGGGUGGAUCACCUGAGGUCAGGAGUUUGAGACCAGCCUGGCCAACAUGGUGAAAACUCGUCUCUA